UCUAACUGCCCUAACUGCUGGACACUGUCCCCCUCCUACAGAGUAAAAAGCCCCAGCUCUGGACUUGAAAUCCUGCCAAUCUCCAUCCUGGAAAGCUUCACCCUGAAAAGUUCCACCCCCUCCCCAAGAAACUGUAUCUAAGCCUUGUAUCCUGUUCAGUUUGCUGGUGUUUUUCACAGGAGCAGAGAGAGAGCCACCCUCCUGGUUGUUUCCCUUCAGUAAAUCUCUUGUGUGAGGUUUGUUGUGCAGGAUAACUUUAGGGUAUUCCCUGGCUCCCAGCUGCCAAGAUACCUUUCCAUCUGAGCUGUAAUGCUUACAUCUGGUGUCAUGACUCAGAUGGACUCUCCUAGUACUUGCAUUUGCCCUCCUGGUCUAAGCUGCACUGGGAUCCUAUCUGUCAUCUCCAGACCACCUACAACAGACUCUCCUGGUUCACCAAUCACUCAGCAUCCCGUCCACCAGCAGCGAUUAGGAAUAGAUGACAUUAUACAGUGGAUCUACCACACCCAGGUCAAGAAAAUGGAAGCCUUGGCUGCUGUCAAAUGGACACUCUCUGGACUAUGGACCCAUUGAAAUUAAGGUUUCAUUGGAUACCUGGGCCUUUCUACCUUCUGACCCUCUACCCCCUCCUGAUUUUUGUGUUUGAUAAGAAUACAGGGUUAUGAUCUAACUCCCACCAUCCUCAGGCCUGGACUGGAAACCACCGAGGAAGACAGAAACAGAGAAGAUAUUAGCUAAUUUAGAAAGCAGAUUCACUGAGUGACAACACAGGGUGUCCAGUGUCUCUGCAGGUCCAUUCAGCUUGAGAGAAUCAUAAAGAGGCUCACUAUAAUUGGAGCAGGCAGAUUGCCAUCCUCACACACAACCAUGUGAGAAUUUCCAAAGAGGUAUCCUGUGUUUGUGAUUGGUUAAAUCUUGCACACAUUGUCCUGGCAGAUGCCCCGAAAUCAUUCAUAUAUGCAAAUAUAAGCAACACUCAAUGUUCUCAGCAUUUUGUACUUAUAGGCAUAUAAAUAAAAUGAUAAAAAUAAAUAAAAAGAGAGGCCUCUAUUUGAGAGGCAAUGAGACAGGUAGAGGAGAGGUUGGAAAGAAGAACAUGUGCUGGGGUAAUUUCAUAUCAACUUGACACAAGCUGAAGUCAUCUGAGAGAAGGGAACUUCAUACCUCUAUAAAACUUGCCUGCAGACAAGACUGUAGGGCGUUACCUUAAAUAGUGAUUGACAGGGGAGGGUCCAAGUUGGGCCCAGUCCAUUGUGAUUGGUGCCAUCCUUGCACCUGGUGAUGCACUAUAGGAAGCAGGAUGAGCAAGCCAUAAGGGACAAGUCAGUAAACAGCACUCCUCAGUGGCUUUUGCAUCAACUCCUGUCUCUAGGAGUUCCUAUCCUAAAGUCUUUUGCCUUAGGGAAUUUUGAACAAGUGACAGAAUGAUUGUUGGUUCCAGAAGACUAGGAGAUCUGCUGAGUUGUGUCUUCUAGAAAUUACAGGAAGAUACAGUCAUGGAAUUCAGUGUGGCUGCCUAAAUAAGACUUCAACAAGGACAUCACUAAUAGACAUGCUAAUGUGGUACUGAUGGGAUCUUUCAGUGAUUAAGAGUGCUUCCUUCAGGACAUUGAGGACCUGAGAUUGCUUCAGAGCAUUGUGUAGAGUGAAGAUAGAGGGGAAAAAAUAGUUACUGGCUGUGUGCAUUAACAUGGUGUAUGUCUGCAGAGGGUGGGAACAUGCUCAUUACUGAGGGAUCAAACUUGCCUCGCAGAAAUAAAGUGGAAAGUGAUAAAGAAAAUCACACUGGCAGCAAGAUAUUCUCACCAGACAUGCACAUCUGAUAACACACUCACAUGUGUCAAACCCUCCUCCUUAUACUAACAUCAUUUUGGAAUAUUUGCCACCAUGAGAAUGAUAGAGAGGAAGUGAAAUGAAGAAUGCUUCUUUCUAUAACUGAUCCAAAUGACAGGUUUAUACUUCAAAUUAUAUUUUAUUAUCCACUGUUACUAGUGUAGGUAUUAUUUCACCUGCAAUGCCCAAUAAUGGCAUUAAAAUGAUGGCCUGUAUUGCAAAGAAAGAUAUAUUUAACGUGUAAGUCUCUUCACCUCAAAAGCAGAUUGCUUAACAUAUAAACUCAUGAACUUUCAGCUUGUCAGAUUCUAUCCUUCAUGUCUAUUAUCAAUCAAGAUUAAGCAUGAAGAAUCCUGAGUGUGGAUGGUGCCAGGAGAGUCCUUGCUUUAAGACAGAUGCCACAAUGAGAACACAUUUGCUGUUCAAGUGCACUUCUUCCCCAGAAUCCAGCAUUUCUAUUAUAGAUCAUCAUGAUGUUACAUUGCUGACAUUCUGAAGAUUCCGUCAGUGAUUGGACCCAUUUCAUUGAUAAAGGAGAGCAUGUCUUAAGUGGAAGAAAUGGAAACUUGUCACUCAAUGUCCACAGCACAGAGAGCUAUUACAUAUUCAUGAGUACUAGAACCAUAGUGUGCAAGGGUGCACUGUGGGAGCUGGGUGGUGUGAAGGAGAUUUUGAAAUGGUUUUAGUUCCUCUGAAUCUCACUUGUUCUAUCCAUCUCACUGUAACUUUUAGCUGGGAACAUUAGGAAAAUUUUACCAGAUUUUCCUCUCCUUUGCAUUAAUGACUUUUUUUUUGUUGGUUUUUUGAGACAGGGUUUCUCUGUGUAGCUUUGUGCCUUUCCUGGAACUCACUUGGUAGCCCAGGCUGACCUCAAACUCACAAAGAUCUGCCUGUCUCUGCCUCCCGAGUGCUGGGAUUAAAGGCGUGCACCACUACCGCCCGGCACAUUAAUGAUUUUUAAAACAAAUUUUCUCCUGUGAAAUUUCUUUUCUGAAGCUAAUGAUUUGAGGUAUAAUGUCUUACAUGAUUACUGGUAGAAAUGAAGGAAAACAUACAAGCACCAUAAAUUUUGUCCUUAGGACAGCCAGAGGAAAGCCAUGUGAGGCACAUCAGAACUGCUGUGGGCAGAUCAUAAUCCUCACACACAGCAGAAAGAUCUUUUCCAAAAAGUUUUCCUGUCUGAAAUUGGUUGGUCAUCAUGUGUGGCAUAUCAGAACUGCUGUGGCAGAUCAUAAUCCUCACACACAGCAGAAAGAUCAUUUCCAAAAAGUUUUCCUGUCUGAAAUUGGUUGGUCACCAUGUGUGGCAUAUCAGAACUGCUGUGGGCAGAUCAUAAUCCUCACACACAGCAGAAAGAUCAUUUCCAAAAAGUUUUCCUGUGUGAAAUUGGUUGGUCAUCCUAUAGAAUGAAUGUUUUUCUUCCCCAAACACUACAAUAUAGUUAAUCCUAGAGGCAUGAUCUGAGUGUUGUUCCAGCAGGAACAUGGUCGAGGGAUGGAGUCAUGUGAAAAGAGUUCUGAGUGCUUUUGUAAACACUCCAGGGAAACAAGAGUCUUGGGACCCCAGUUUCUUCAAAACGGGGAAUUGUUCUUGGAGUGUGUUUACCUGCUUCCCUCAAGUGUAGAGGAUAGGAAUGAGUUUAAUUCAUUUAGUAAUUUAGAUUAUUUAGUAUUGCUUGCUGCUUUUAUUCAAUUAAAUUUUUAUGCCUGUAUAGAAAAAUGUGGCUUUGCCCUGUAUGUCUUAUCCUUGUGAUUGCAUACAGAUUGAACUCAUGAGAACUUUAUGUAUGUAAAGUAAUCUUGCUUUCUUCAUGCUCAGAGUAUAAUUAUCUGAGUUUCUAAAUAAGGUUGGCUAUUACAUGAGACUCAACUCCACUUCAUUUAUUGGCUCCAGUCACCCAGGUCCCACUGCCUGUAGAAUGGUGACAAACCAUCCUGUAAACAUUUUAAUCAUAUGGCUUUUUUACCUUUUAUAGCAUGACCCUGGUAAGACUGUCAUCAUGACAUUUAUCUAAAAGUUAAAAUGUUUGUUGCAUUCAAAAUGUCACAGGUAAGAGCUUACAUAAGAAAGCGGGAGACUGAGAAGUCAUGUGAGCUAAAGUUUAGCUCUAUGGGUUAGCUUUAAUAACAGAGAGCUAAGUUAAGAAGAGAGAGUUCUGAGACUUUUUCUUCUCCCCCGAUGUGCUUUCAUCACAGUGUGGAUUUAUUUAGUCACACACUGCACAUGCAUCUCUAGAAAAAAAGUCAAGAUACUUAAGACUGACUCCAAAUACUUUAAUUGUAAAAAACAUUAUGGAAAGGGGAUUUUCUACGUAUCAGGUUUUACUAAUAUUCAAAUUUCACUGUGUAAAUCCAUUGAGAUGGUAUUUUGUGGAAUCUGGAAUCAAUUUUAGGAAUUGAAAUUCUACCUCUGACUCUGCCAAGAAUGAACACAGUAUCUAUAGGCUUAGCCUACUAACAUAUCUUCUAUUUAGGUACUGCCUUACCAAACUAAAAAAAAAAAAUGUGCAGAAAACAGCCUGAAAGGCAUUGAUAAAAUUCUGAGUUGAUACCAUCGAGUUACUCUUGCCAUAGAAACAUAGAUGUAUAUGCAAGAAUAUUUACUAUGUACCUGAUUUCUGAAUCAGAUGUAUCUGUGAAAAAAGGAUGGAGUCUAUAGAAGACAUUACUUAAAGGGAAAAUAAAGAGCAGCAGAAGUCCCCCCUCCCUAUCCUUGUCAUUAUUGAAACAAAUUUAGAGGAACGGACUUCAUAAAGCAUUUCGUUUCACUGCUUACAUGACACAUCACCUUAAAAUUGAUUCCCUCUUUCUGAAGGGACACAGAACACAUCCAGGCACCAAAUUCUCAGCACAAAUGAGAUUUUAUUUACCCUGGAGGGGAUAAGUGGGGAAUGCCUGUGGAUUGGUCAAAGACAGCAGCAUAUAUCUCUGUAGGAGUACAUUUUAAGAAGAAAAAGAGGAAAUCUGUGAUGGGAUGAGUUGGAAAAAAUUAAUAGCAUCAGUGACCUAUGAAGAAUACUCAAAAAUUUAUUAAGAACAAGUAAGAAAAUCAAGAAGAAAAGCACUGUGAUCAAAAAGCUAAAAAUGGAUCCUGCCCUGGACCUCCCAUCUGGAAAAGAGG